CCUGGCGGCUGUAGCGCGGUGGUCCCACCUGACCCCAUACCGAAUUCAGAAGUGAAACGCCGUAGCGCCGAUGGUAGUGUGGGGUCUCCCCAUGCGAGAGUAGGGAACUGCCAGGC
rnacentral:rRNA from 1 species